AACUGGUCACAUUCACUUCUCCUCUGUGACGUACUCGAUCUUUCAGCAUGGGAGGCGGUGAAGCCGCUGUCGACGGAGGAGGUGGAGUUGGCGCCUCUGUAGGCAAUGGAUGUGCACGUCAGUAUCCCCUUCACCUCCAUCCGCCUCACCGACGUCUACAUCUGUGAUGCCAGGGCGACCGAAGAAGCCAGCCAGCGUGAGGAUGUUUCGAGGAGUUGCGGCGAGGGAAGGCCAAGCAGCAGGAGCCCACAAGGAAUAUCGACCAAAUGUAAAUUUGAUAUGAAUCAAUUAUCUAUUUAUAUGGCAUCUAGUCUUUUUUUUUU